rnacentral:tRNA from 1 species
GAAACGGUGGCUCAGCAGUUAAGAGCACUGGUUGUUCUUCCAGAGGACCUGGGUUCGAGUCCUAGCAUUUACA